AGCUCCAAUAGCGUAUAUUUAAGUUGUUGCAGUUAAAAAGCUCGUAGUUGGAUCUUGGGUCGUAAAGGUCGGUCCGCCUACUCGGUGUGCACCUGCCCUUCCGUCCCUUUUGUCGGCGGCGUGCUCCUGGCCUUAAUUGGCUGGGUCGCGGCUCCGGCGCUGUUACUUUGAAAAAAUUAGAGUGCUCAAAGCAAGCUUAUGCUCUUAAUACAUUAGCAUGGAAUAACGUGAUAGGAGUCUGGUCCUAUUGUGUUGGCCUUCGGGACCGGAGUAAUGAUUAAUAGGGACUGUCGGGGGCAUUCGUAUUUCAUUGUCAGAGGUGAAAUUCUUGGAUUUAUGAAAGACGGACCACUGCGAAAGCAUUUGCCAAGGAUGUUUUCAUUAAUCAAGAACGAAAGUA
rnacentral:rRNA from 1 species